UUGAGGAUGAUGGAGCUGGGGUAUCUGUCAACUCACCGGUUGCCAGAGUCCAUGUGACUAAUAUGGCUGGCUUGAUGUCCUCUUCCUCACUCAUCACAUAGUGAGGAAUCCUCCUGAAAUUCCAUGCCUGGUCAGAGAAUGAUGUUCCCUAGUAGAGAAGAACUGUUCUUCAAUCAAAAGUAAGCUGUCACAGAACUCCCCUGCAAGAACCUUUGUACCAGUUAAACUAUUACUGGCAAAUUUAAGCAGAAAAUGAGGAUUAUUAUAAGGGUAGUGGGCAUACUUUUA
rnacentral:sRNA from 1 species